rnacentral:guide_RNA from 1 species
AAAACGCAGAAAAUGGUUACUAUGAAUUGAUGAAUUAAUU